rnacentral:rRNA from 1 species
UGCAGUCGAACGGUGACCUCGGAGCUUGCUCCGAGUGAUCAGUGGCGAACGGGUGAGUAACACGUGAGUAACCUGCCCCUGGCUCUGGGAUAACCCCGGGAAACCGAGGCUAAUACCGGAUACGACACAGACAGGCAUCUGUACUGUGUGGAAAGUUUUUCGGCUAGGGAUGGACUCGCGGCCUAUCAGCUUGUUGGUGGGGCAAUGGCCUACCAAGGCGACGACGGGUAGCCGGCCUGAGAGGGCGACCGGCCACACUGGGACUGAGACACGGCCCAGACUCCUACGGGAGGCAGCAGUGGGGAAUAUUGCGCAAUGGGCGAAAGCCUGACGCAGCGACGCCGCGUGAGGGAUGAAGGCCUUCGGGUUGUAAACCUCUUUCAGCAGGGAAGAAGCGCAAGUGACGGUACCUGCAGAAGAAGCACCGGCUAACUACGUGCCAGCAGCCGCGGUAAUACGUAGGGUGCAAGCGUUGUCCGGAAUUAUUGGGCGUAAAGAGCUCGUAGGCGGUCUGUCGCGUCUGGUGUGAAAAUCCAGGGCUUAACCCUGGACCUGCAUCGGGUACGGGCAGACUAGAGUGCGGUAGGGGAGAUCGGAAUUCCUGGUGUAGCGGUGAAAUGCGCAGAUAUCAGGAGGAACACCGGUGGCGAAGGCGGAUCUCUGGGCCGUAACUGACGCUGAGGAGCGAAAGCAUGGGGAGCGAACAGGAUUAGAUACCCUGGUAGUCCAUGCCGUAAACGUUGGGCGCUAGGUGUGGGGCUCAUUCCACGAGUUCCGUGCCGCAGCAAACGCAUUAAGCGCCCGCCUGGGGAGUACGGCCGCAAGGCUAAAACUCAAAGGAAUUGACGGG